rfam:Rattus norvegicus chromosome 4, whole genome shotgun sequence.
GGGGAUUUGGCUCAGUGGUAGAGCGCUUGCCUAGCAAGCGCAAGGCCCUGGGUUCAAUCCCCA